ACUCCACAACCUAAAUCCAAGGCUACUGCUAGGUGAAUUGUUGUUAAGGUUGCCAUGAGUUGAUUGCCAUGUACAAGUUAGACUCAGCCAGAGGUUGUUCACAUUGCACGAGGAGAGUCGUAGACCUCACUUAUAGUAGUUUAUGUUAAUGUUUUAUUAUGAGAUACAAUACUUCAUUAUAUGAUUUUUGGUGAACUGUAUGCAUCAAAAGGUGCAUGUACGACUCUUAAGGAAAAAAAUGGAAUCCUAAUCAAUCGACUUUAUCGAGAAAGAUUACUUUUUUUAGAUCAAGAGGUUGAUAAUGAAAUAUCGAAUCAACUAAUUAGUCUUAUGGUAUAUCUUAGUAUAGAAGAAGAGAAUAAAGAUUUGUAUCUGUUUAUAAAUUCUCCGGGGGGUGGGUAGUAGAUUAUGACAUUUGUAUCGAACUUUAUAAUUGUUUCUUUAAGAUUUAUAUUUCAAACUUGUUAUAGUUUACUUAUGGACAUGUAUGACCUUUGGAAUGCCAAGAGGCUUAUUUAGUUUCUAUCUAUAUAUGCUAUUUGGGAAGUAAGAGUAUGUGAUGCCUUUUAUUUUAUAAGUUAUGUUUAAAAAAGUUUUUGAAAAAUUCAUUUAAAAUAUAUUCUGCGAUGUUAACUAAUAAUGAUAAUUAUAUGUUGGGGUAAAGGGUGUCGCACCUAGAAACUAGGUGGAUUCUCUUACUCUAAAGCAAUUUUCUUGGCAAAGAUUGCCUCACUUAGCAAGACAGUUUGUGAAACUUUCUAUCAAAUUUUUGUAUAGAGACAUUUGAAUUCACUUAGUGACACUUACCUAUUUUUCUCCCGGAGGCUAACUGCUUAGUGACUCACUACAUGCAUCCUAAAUGGAUUUAUUAUCUCAAUUUCGCUCAGCCAAUCCUCUACAGGAAUUUCCUAGAUUUUUAUCUACAUUUCACUCAACGAAAAGAAGUUUCCCCUAGCAACAUACUAUUUUCACUUAGCGAGAUAAAUCAUGCCCAAUGACUCUGCUACAGAAGUUCCACUCAUUAUCUGAUUUUUUUUUUCACUCCCUGAUAUAUAGUUGUUGCACAACAAAUUGGCUAUAGGUGUUUCCUCCUACCUACUACCUUAUUUUCAGUUAGCGAAGGUGGAUAUUCGUAUAGUAAAUUUCCUCUCCCUCACUACUAGAAAAGAUUGUAUUUACGACGCGCUAUCUACGACAGUUCUAAAAAACCGAUUUAGAAUAUGGCGUGGUGGCAAUUUUGUAAUUAGGUGAAUAAAAAUUUGUUUUUACGUCGUACAUUCUAAGGCGGUUAUAAAUAACCGUCUUAGAAUGUGACACGAUGGCAUUUCCGUAAUUAUCAAAAGCUUGAACAACGACAGGUUUAAAGCAAAACUGCCUUCGUAUUCCUUCCUUUACCACUUAUUAACCCUAGCUUAAGCUUAUCCUCCCCCAUUGACGACAACUUUCUUUCUCUCUCUCUUUCUCUUUCUUUCCCCUUUUCGUAUUCCUCCCCCAUUGCACGCUAGGGUUUCUGCGCGCAUUCGACGCUGCUCCUGACGCUCCCAAUGCCUUCGUUCACGAUGUUACAGUGCUCCGUGACUUCCUCGCCAACACGCGUAGGGACAACGCCACCGUUUAGGUCCCCGUCCCCAAGGUUCUGUCGCCGCUUCUUCCUCCGUCCGACGCUGUUCCUCUUGGCCCUGACGCACUCGAUGAGUCCGCCUCCAUGAAGGCCAAGCGCAUCGCCCUCCAACGCAAGGGCGCCGCCGCCAUGAUUGUCGUCGAGGAGUACGCUCGCCACUUCAAGUUCGACGAUGUUUUGAUAAUUCUUGUGCUACAAAUAGGGAAAUUGGGUUGUUCAGAAUGGUACAAAAAAUGGAGAAAGAAAGAUAGUGCUUGGAAGAAAUAUUCACACCACGUGCCUUGAAGUCACUGAGCCUGGUAUAGAUGAUGAGGUUAUUGGGGAAAGGGAAGCUUAUAUGGCAGGCAUGUUGGCUAAAUACAAAAAAUCUCUGAAAGGACCAACUAUCAUUCAGAUGAGGAAAUGCCCAAAGAAGAGCCCUUGGUUGUUCGCCUCAAGGCGCGCAUGCAAGAAAUGAAGGAAAAAGAACUCAAGUACCUUGGAAAUGGCGAUGCCAAUUCCCAUGUUUGUAAAGUAUGUUUUGAAUCUCCAACUACAGUAAUUCUGCUUUCAUGCCGACAUUUUUGUUUGUGUAAAUCUUGUUCACUUGCUUGUUUUGAGGGUCCAAUAUGCCGCACAAGUAUUACUGAUAGGAUUUUUGCUUUUACAUAACAGAGGGCUUUAUCCCAUUGAAUUAAUAUACUCCAUGCUAUUACGGGUGCAAUUCUUUUAUUAGUUUGCCUAUAUGUAACUGCGUUUAAAAGGUGCUGGAUUUGGAUCUAAGAGAAAAUAUAUGUUUCGGAAAGUGACCAUCCAGCUCAAGCUUGUGAAGGGUGACUCUGCUGGAACUGGACCAUUUCUAUGUAAGUGGAAAUUUAUCUUUUAUUUUAAAGAACAAAUUUGCUUAUGAUGCUCUUUUGAUGUUUUAGUAUGAUGCUUGUGAUAAUUACUAUUUACUAGCUAUAGUGCUUAGUUAACAAUGAACAUAAUUUACGGUGUACAUAUUCAGCUCAAUGCAUUGAGCUUUUCUCAAGUGCAGACAACCCGAUUUGCAUCAAUGAAUUGAAUAUUACCGGUUUAGGCAUCAUGGAGAUUCCUAUUUGCUUAGGUGGCUCCAUUUCAUCCACUGGCUCCACUUUAUAUGUGCUCAUGUUUUCCUGCUUUUACAAGAUCGAAUGUCUCUUGGAUUCCAAUAUAUAUGUCUUAACUUCUUAGUCAUAUAUAGUUUCUGAUACAACUUUUAAUUCACUCCCUUUUUGGCUGCCAACCUUGCAAACGAAGGGUGGAAUCCGUAGGCCAUAAUGUCUUUUGAUUUUGAUACAAGAGAUGCUAUAAUGCAUGAACCUCUUUGGGUCAAA